AGUGGCGAACGGGUGAGUAACACGUGGGGCAACCUGCCCAAAAGAGGGGGAUAACACUUGGAAACAGGUGCUAAUACCGCAUAACCAUAGUUACCGCAUGGUAACUAUGUAAAAGGUGGCUAUACUACCGCUUUUGGAUGGGCCCGCGGCGCAUUAGCUAGUUGGUAGGGUAAAGGCUUACCAAGGCAAUGAUGCGUAGCCGAAUUGAGAGGUUGAUCGGCCACAUUGGGACUGAGACACGGCCCAAACUCCUACGGAAGGCAGCAG
rnacentral:rRNA from 1 species